UUGGGAGCUAACCCAUAUGGUCGACCUGCAGGCGGCCGCGAAUUCACUAGUGAUUAGAGUUUGAUCAUGGCUCAGAGCGAACGCUGGCGGCAGGCUUAACACAUGCAAGUCGAGCGGGCGUAGCAAUACGUCAGCGGCAGACGGGUGAGUAACGCGUGGGAACAUACCUUUUGGUUCGGAACAACACAGGGAAACUUGUGCUAAUACCGGAUAAGCCCUUACGGGGAAAGAUUUAUCGCCGAAAGAUCGGCCCGCGUCUGAUUAGCUAGUUGGUGUGGUAACGGCGCACCAAGGCGACGAUCAGUAGCUGGUCUGAGAGGAUGAUCAGCCACAUUGGGACUGAGACACGGCCCAAACUCCUACGGGAGGCAGCAGUGGGGAAUAUUGGACAAUGGGCGCAAGCCUGAUCCAGCCAUGCCGCAUGAGUGAUGAAGGCCCUAGGGUUGUAAAGCUCUUUUGUGCGGGAAGAUAAUGACGGUACCGCAAGAAUAAGCCCCGGCUAACUUCGUGCCAGCAGCCGCGGUAAUACGAAUCGAAUUCCCGCGGCCGCCAUGGCG
rnacentral:rRNA from 1 species